GACGAACGCUGGCGGCGUGCUUAACACAUGCAAGUCGAACGGAAAGGCCCUGCUUUUGUGGGGUGCUCGAGUGGCGAACGGGUGAGUAACACGUGAGUAACCUGCCCUUGACUUUGGGAUAACUUCAGGAAACUGGGGCUAAUACCGGAUAGGAGCUCCUGCUGCAUGUUGGGGGUUGGAAAGUUUCGGCGGUUGGGGAUGGACUCGAGGCUUAUCAGCUUGUUGGUGGGGUAGUGGCUUACCAAGGCUUUGACGGGUAGCCGGCCUGAGAGGGUGACCGGCCACAUUGGGACUGCGAUACGGCCCAGACGCCUACGGGAGGCAGCAGUGGGGAAUCUUGCACAAUGGGCGGAAGCCUGAUGCAGCAACGCCGCGUGCGGAAUACCGGCCUUCGGGUUGUAAACCGCUUUCGCCUGUGCCGAAGAGUGCGUGACGGUAACGGGUAAAGAAGCACCGGCUAACUACGUG
rnacentral:rRNA from 1 species